UACGGAGGGUGCAAGCGUUAUCCGGAUUCACUGGGUUUAAAGGGUGCGUAGGCGGGCAUUUAAGUCCGUGGUGAAAUACCUGAGCUUAACUUGGGAACUGCCAUGGAUACUAUUUGUCUUGAAUGUCGUGGAGGUUAGCGGAAUAUGUCAUGUAGCGGUGAAAUGCUUAGAUAUGACAUAGAACACCUAUUGCGAAGGCAGCUAACUACGCGAAUAUUGACGCUGAGGCACGAAAGCGUGGGGAUCAAACAGG
rnacentral:rRNA from 1 species